CAUUUGCAAAAUGGGAAUGGUAAUACAUAACCUAUCUCAUAUCAUAUGCAGUUGUAAAGAUUAAAUCUAUAAUGUGAGGAAUAAAGAGCAUUAAAUAUUCAUUGAAAUUAAUGGCAAAAUGCCAAUUACUUUUGUACCAACCUAAUAUAGAUAUAGGGAUAUUUGAAAAUUGAGAUUUGUAUUUUUAUGACACUAUUAAAAAUGGUAAACUUUGUGGGCAAUAUAGAUUAAACCAGUCAGGAUGUGGGAUGAUCUUAAAUUUUAAAUUAAAAAUAUAUUUAUUAUAUUCUUUUAUUAGCACAGACAAGAAUCUAGGAAAAAACUUGGUAC
rnacentral:lncRNA from 10 species